rnacentral:rRNA from 1 species
GACGGAGGGGGCAAGCGUUGUCCGGAAUCAUUGGGCGUAAAGAGCGCGUAGGCGGCCCAGUAAGUCCGCUCUGAAAGUCAGGGGCUCAACCCCUGAAUGCGGGUGGAUACUGCUGGGCUAGAGUCCGGAAGAGGCGAGUGGAAUUCCUGGUGUAGCGGUGAAAUGCGCAGAUAUCAGGAGGAACACCAAUGGCGAAGGCAGCUCGCUGGGACGGUACUGACGCUGAGGAGCGAAAGCAUGGGGAGCGAACAGG